ensembl:lncRNA
UAAAGUAUCACUCAUAGCAAGAAUUUCUAUGUCUCGCGUGCUUCUUGCCGGCGGAAAGUCACGCGCGGGACAUUUGGUGCCGAGAAACCCGGGACAAAAACAUCGCCGGCGCUACGAGAGGCCUCCGUUUCACGGAAGAAAUUCAGAAGCUAUGGAAUACAGUUUCUUACAGAAUUGGGUUUCAACACGUUGGUGGACUAGUCCAGGAAUUGAGACAAUCCAUCGCCCAUAUCAGCUCCACUCGAUGGAUAGUCGCCGUGAACACCAUCUGGCUUUUUCCCCUCUUUGUCUAUUGUUUGUCUCUGGUGCACCAGGCUGUCCAUGUCUGUCAGUUUAUGUCUGUGGUUUUUGUUUCUCGUUGCUUAAAUGUUUUAUGUUUCGUGGUCAAAAGAAAAAAAAUGGUAAAAAACUUUAUCUGCUGGUCGUGCACACCUUGACUUGGUUUUAACUCGUUUCAAAAAGGAACAAAUGAAUAAAAAACAGUUUCAAUCAGGUUUUUGAAGCCCUGUGCCUAGAGCCAGGUGUCUAGAUUAGCUGGAGAAGCUGACCAGAAGCUAAGCGUCUACACGAGCUGAUCUUAAAAGCGCCAACAGCUUCUUCAUACAAGAGUUGAUAGCUGUUUCUCUUAAAAAAAAAAUCCCUGACUUAUUACUUGACUCAACAGGUGACAAGGUGCUUCUCCUAAAAUCAUAACAAAAGGGUAAAAAUGGUGUUUGGUCUAAAUAUUAAAGAUAGGUGUAGCCAUUUCAAUUUUGUUUCUUAUUGGUUUUAUAUGUAUAAAUAUGCUCUACUUGCCUUGGUUGUGGACUAUUGGCUUUCAAGUUAUUGGAUAUGGUUAAAAGGGUAUAAUAUUGGUAACAGAAAGUUGACAUAAAGCUAGUAAUCUGGAUGGAGUCAUUUUAGAUAGCGUGUGACAUGGGCCAACCUAGGGAAACAGGUCUAAAUUGAGGUAAUGUUUUUAUGGAAUUCUUAUGCUAGAAACCAGGCUUCUAAAAGAAUUUAGGACAUUGUCCCUGGUUGAGGUGUUGGAGGCCACACCUUUGUGAGUCCAAAUGUAAGAAUUGACAGUCAAACUUUGUAACAUAAUAGAUAGACCUGUGGUGCCUUGGAGACUAGAUUGUUUGUUGGAGGUUGAGUUUUGCUUUCCAAAGCUGUGGCUUGCCCAGAAGUUAUCUGUAUUUUAAUGCUAAUUCCACUGCCCCAAAAACAGCUGCCUAAUAAGUUUUACUUUCCAAAGUUGUGGCUUGCGCAGAAGUUAUCUGUAUUUUAAUGUUAAUUUCCACUGCCGGGAGAACAGCUGCCUAGUCACGUACUCAGAAUUCAGGUGACCUUGUGGCUGUGUUCUGGUGUUACAAAGAGAACUUAAAGAUUGUGAUUUAGGAUUGCCAGUGUUACAUUGACUAACUCAAACUUAUUUUUAAUUAAGGAAAAAUCAAACAGGUAGAGAUUGUUACAGGAUUUAUAAGGAUUGAUGAGGUUUUAGAACUUGUGAGAGCAUUACAGCCAGUUUCCU